GGCCCGUUGGUCAAGUGGUUAAGACACCGCCCUUUCACGGCGGUAACACGGGUUCGAAUCCCGUACGGACUA
rnacentral:tRNA from 1 species